UACGUAGGGUGCGAGCGUUGUCCGGAAUUAUUGGGCGUAAAGAGCUUGUAGGCGGUUUGUCGCGUCUGCCGUGAAAAUCCGGGGCUCAACCCCGGACUUGCGGUGGGUACGGGCAGACUAGAGUGUGGUAGGGGAGACUGGAAUUCCUGGUGUAGCGGUGAAAUGCGCAGAUAUCAGGAGGAACACCAAUAGCGAAGGCAGCUCGCUGGGACGUUACUGACACUGAGGCGCGAAAGCGUGGGGAGCGAACAGG
rnacentral:rRNA from 1 species